AGUGAACGCUGGCGGUAGGCCUAACACAUGCAAGUCGAACGGCAGCACAGUAAGAGCUUGCUCUUACGGGUGGCGAGUGGCGGACGGGUGAGGAAUACAUCGGAAUCUACUUUUUCGUGGGGGAUAACGUCGGGAAACUUACGCUAAUACCGCAUACGACCUACGGGUGAAAGCAGGGGAUCUUCGGACCUUGCGCGAUUGAAUGAGCCGAUGUCGGAUUAGCUAGUUGGCGGGGUAAAGGCCCACCAAGGCGACGAUCCGUAGCUGGUCUGAGAGGAUGAUCAGCCACACUGGAACUGAGACACGGUCCAGACUCCUACGGGAGGCAGCAGUGGGGAAUAUUGGACAAUGGGCGCAAGCCUGAUCCAGCCAUACCGCGUGGGUGAAGAAGGCCUUCGGGUUGUAAAGCCCUUUUGCUGGGAAAGAAAAGCAGCAGGUUAAUACCCCGCUGUUCUGACGGUACCCAAAGAAUAAGCACCGGCUAACUUCGUG
rnacentral:rRNA from 1 species